rnacentral:rRNA from 1 species
UGAGGAAUCUGUCCAUCGGCGGGGGAUAGCCGGCCCAACGGCCGGGUAAUACCGCGUACGUCGGCGGGAGCGCAUGCUCCUGCCGGGAAAGCAGCAAUGCACCGAUGGAGGAUCUCGCGGCCUAUCAGCUUGUUGGUGAGGUCACGGCUCACCAAGGCGACGACGGGUAGCUGGUCUGAGAGGAUGAUCAGCCACAUUGGGACUGAGACACGGCAGA